rnacentral:lncRNA from 1 species
GUAAAGAGAUGCCUAAGAAACAAGUUGGUGACCGUCAUGGACAUGAACAUGAACGUUCAAAGGAAGGUGAUGAUCAUUCCGGAGAUGAGUAUGGCGAGCACACAAGGAAAGGUAAGGGAAUGCCUAGGAAACAAUCUGGUGAUCGUGACAACCGUGAACGUUCAAAGGAAGAUGAUGAUCACUCGAGAUCUGGACGUGGUGAAAGUAAAGGAAUGCCCACGAAAAAAUCUGGGGGUCAUGGACAUGAUGAACAUUCAGAUGAAGAUGAUAGUCGCUCUGGAGGGGGGUAUGGCGAUUACAUCAAAAAAGCUCAAGGAAU